rnacentral:rRNA from 1 species
UGCCCUUCAGAGGGGGACGAACAGUUGGAAACGACUGCUAAUACCGCAUACGAUCUAAUCUCGGCAUCGAGGAAAGAUGAAAGGUGGCCUCUAUUUAUAAGCUAUCACUGAAGGAGGGGAUUGCGUCUGAUUAGCUAGUUGGAGGGGUAACGGCCCACCAAGGCGAUGAUCAGUAGCCGGUCUGAGAGGAUGAACGGCCACAUUGGGACUGAGACACGGCCCAGACUCCUACGGGAGGCAGCAUG